GAUGAACGCUGGCGGCGUGCUUAACACAUGCAAGUCGAACGAAGCACUUUAUUUGAUUUCCUUCGGGACUGAUUAUUUUGUGACUGAGUGGCGGACGGGUGAGUAACGCGUGGGUAACCUGCCUUGUACAGGGGGAUAACAGUUGGAAACGGCUGCUAAUACCGCAUAAGCGCACAGCAUCGCAUGAUGCAGUGUGAAAAACUCCGGUGGUAUAAGAUGGACCCGCGUUGGAUUAGCUAGUUGGUGAGGUAACGGCCCACCAAGGCGACGAUCCAUAGCCGACCUGAGAGGGUGACCAGCCACAUUGGGACUGAGACACGACCCAAACUCCUGCGGAGGCAGCAGUGGGGAAUAUUGCACAAUGGGCGAAAGCCUGAUGCAGCGACGCCGCGUGAGCGAAGAAGUAUUUCGGUAUGUAAAGCUCUAUCAGCAGGGAAGAUAAUGACGGUACCUGACUAAGAAGCACCGGCUAAAUACGUG
rnacentral:rRNA from 1 species